GGUUUGGGUGUGGCCGCAUGGCGUGCUGUGGUGCAGGUGGCCGAAGGGGGCGUUACUGUUGCGACUGGCAUCCGCAUCCGGCAGAUGUAGAUGGAACCAAAGUCCAGAAGUUACGCGUCACCCUUGCUCUACAGCCAAACAUGCAGGACUCUAGUAACCCGCGAAAUGAUGGGAUAGCGUUGCAAAUCCUUAAAAGAGUCUUAACGAAAUCCUGGCUGACAUUGACUUCUCCACUGCAACCAUCGAGUUCAUUGUCUCCUAAACCUUGCCAUGGAGGCCUGUGGCACCUGAGCCAGCCAUUAUCAUCACCAGCACUUCCAUGAGCUACAAGCUGGACCCACUGCAGUCCUCCUGACACACUGAAAUCAGAGCCUGCACACAGAGCAGCAGAUGCUUCAAUGUAAAGGUCAUUUCCAGGUCCUUGACAGGCGUGCAUCUGGGCCAGAUCCAUGGCAAUAACCUUCAGGUUGAGGCUAGAGGGCUUCAGAUGGGCAGCUUCGAAUGACAGGAGCAAGGCACAAGAGGCCGGAAAGGGAGGGUGACAUUUUCAGCAUCUAUAAGAUCAACUUUAGAAACAUUUGGGGGUUGACAAAUUCCCAUCAAGCUCUGUGGAUCUUGUACAACUGCUCACCACCGGCUUCUCAUCAGCACAUGAUUGGUGCAGGGUUCUGAGGAUGAUUUUGAGAUGUUCCCUGAUGUGGUCUUGUGAGGAGAUUUCAUGACAGAUGGCAGGAAGCUUCGUGGAGAGAUUUCUGAAGACACUCCUGAGCUCCCAACACCGGGCAACUCUCUUCCAGAGGAUAGUGGGGUGGAGGGUAGAAGAGAGGCAAAGUCAGGAGAAGGGAAAAUGUUACAUUGUCAAAGUCCCAAAGCCUUUCAGCCUGAAGCCAGGAACAAUUGUUCAAAGUUUCUUUGGAACAUCAAGGAAGGAAAUCCAGAUUUUACUUUAAGUGCAAUGGGGAGUCAUUAAGGAUUUUGUGUAGAUACAGCAAAAAGACAACAAUCUUCAAGCCACAAUGGCCCUCACCAGAACCCAGCCAUGUGGUCAGCCUGAUCUCGGACUUCACAGCCAGCAGAACUGUUUGUCAAAGAUCAGAUGGUUUCCUUAAGCUGAUAAGCAACUUCAACAAAGUCUCAGGAUACAAAAUCAAUGUGCAAAAAUCAUAAGCAUUCUUAUACACCAAUAACAGACAAACAGCCAAAUCAUGAGUGAACUUCCAUUCAUAAUUGCACAAAGAGAAUCAAAUACCUAGGAAUCCAGCUUACAAGGGAUGUGAAGGACCUCUUCAAGGAGAACUACAAACCACUGCUCAAUGAAAUAAAAGGGGACACAAACAAAUGGAAGAACAUUCCAUGCUCAUGGUUAGGAAGAAUCAAUAUCGUGAAAAUGGCCAUACUGCCCAAGAUAAUUUAUAGAUUCAAUGCCAUCCCCAUCAAGCUACCAAUGACUUUCUUCACAGAAUUGGAAGAAACUACGUUAAAGUUCAUAUGGAACCAGAAAAGAGCCUGCACUGCCAAGACAACCCUAAGCAAAAAGAACAAAGCUGGAGGCAUCAUGCCACCUGACUUCAAACUAUACUACAAGGCUACAGUAACCAAAGCAGCAUGGUACUGGUACCAAAACAGAGAUAUAGACCAACGGAACAGAACAGAGGCCUCAGAAAUAACACCACGCAUCUACAGUCUAUGGUAUUUUACUAUGGAAGCCCACCCUAAGAUUUCAAUUUAGCUUCCAUGUAGUUCCCUGGUGCUUGGCAAUCUCCUGACUCACUACCUUGUCACAUGGUCUAUCCCAAGUCAGUCCUUCUCCUCUUCCCAUAUCCCCCUACUCCAAUAUUCACCCAUAUGUGGCCAAGUCUUCCUCCACCUGAGCUCCUUGCAGAGGAAUGAACAAUUGUUUGAACAUUAAUGAAUAUUAAAGUUAUCUGAUCAUUUCAAAUUGGGACCACUUAGGAACUUUUUCUGUGUUGUUUCUUUAACUUUCAUGUCCAGUGAUUGAGUUCUUCUCCAGAGCUGUUGAGACCUAAAUAAAUCCAGCCUAUCAUCUUUCUUCUCAUGCUGCUUUUGUUAUACACAGACAGCAUGAGUGUCACAUGAGAAAGCUGAAAUAGGGUCACUUUGAAAACAAAAGUUUCCUUGUAUACUGGAUUUGGCCGCCCUCUGCGGAUGGAUAUCUUGCAUUUGGACAUCUCUUGAUCCGUGGAUUUCCGUAGAGUUAACUUAACAUAUGUAUUGGGUGGUCUGUUUGCUGCCCAAUUUUUUAAGUGGCUGCCUUUUAUCACUUCUGCUGAUAGUCUCCCAUUUGUGGCAUUAUAAAGCAGGCUAAUGAGAAUUUCUGGAACUGACCCGUCUUCGAGAGACUGACAUGCGGAUGUACUUUCACUACAAGACAUUUCUGACACGCUCAUUUGGGAGUCACAGACACAUUUUAUCUUGUGAAUUGUUCCUUGUACUGUAUUCUGAACCAAGAUCUGGAAGCCCUCCAACAUUUUCAAAACAGAACUGCUUAUUAAUAUAGAGAAAAAGAAGCAGCAUCAGGAUAAUAAACACCCAAACAGCUGACAAAAACCCAACUGCCUCUGGAGAUACUUUUCUAAAACAGGAAAGCUUCCUGCUGACUCAAAAGGAUUUUUCUUCUUCUGAACUCCUAUUAUGGGAAUGGAUGAAAUCACUUACAGAGCCACAGAAGGAAACAAAGCAAAGCCAGGAUCAUGAGUUGGAUUAUCUGGAGGCCUAGGCCAAUGGGGAGUUAUUGCUUGCAGUCACUGAUCAAGCAAAUAAACUUUUCCUUCUUUCUUAUGAAAUUUAUUUAAGAAGCUGAAAUUACUUAAAUGAUAAUGAGUUGUGAGAAAAGAAUUGUAGUAGAUAUUUGUUCUCUAUCCAAAUUGCACUGAGUGGGGAGGUGUACCCAUACCCCAGCUUCGAGAAUUGACUGAUAACAGUUCACACCUGCACUUCUCCAGAGAAUUGUCCUUGUCUGACCUGAGCACCUUGUUUAGUAAUGUCUGGUAGGCUAUGCUCCACCUUCCCUGGGCAGAUCCACUGGUCUAAGACAAACAACCCAACCCUCUAAUUUCUGGGAAGAAUCACCUCCGUGAUUAAUCUAAGCUCCAGAUCUCCCAGAGAAAUCAUGCUGAGGCUACAUUUGUGAAACUACAUUUUUAUCUAGCUUCUUCCUUUGCCCUUUCCUGCUGUCCUCACUUCCUUAUGAAUUUUUUUCUGAAAGAUCUUGAUUAAUAAAUUAUUUAAUCAAGAUCCCCCAGUCAUAAGUUCUGUGUUUUGGAAUAUAACCUAUACAAAAAUAAAUUAAUUGGUACUAGAUAAUGCUCCGCUAUGCAUCUAUUUCAAUGUCUAUUCUUUGGAAGUUCUGUCAUCACACAUCCCCAAGUUUUAGAUAAGGUUUUUAGCUAACAGCCAGGAAAAGAUUCAAUAAA
ensembl:lncRNA UBA6-DT UBA6 divergent transcript